GUUUUACUGUGCAGUCUUUAAGCUUGCUUUUGCUAUGCUUGACGUAUUACUCAAACUUGUGGAAUCAUCAUAAGUUCAGCUAGAGUUGAGAUAAACUUUGAACUGUGAUGGAUUUUGUUAUUCCCAAUAGGUCUUGCAAAGCUUUUCUGGACUUGCUGGAGACACAAUUAGAUGAUCCUAACACUCCUC